CUCUAUAGACCAGGUUGGCCUUGAACUCACAGAGAUCCACCAGCCUCUGCCUCCCGAGUGCUGGGAUUAAAGGCAUGUGCCACCAACACCUGGCUUCCCAAUAGAUUUCUUACCAUUGCAUUCAGUUUCUACUGAUGAUCUUGACCUAAAAUUAAUUAUCAAAAUGAUGACUGAAAAAUCAGCAAUUCUUCUGUAACAUUGCCUGGACCUCAGGAACUCCUCAUUUUUAUGUAGGACAUUAUAACCUAUCACAGUUAAUUUUGAUAUCCUCACACCAGUAGGGUGGCUCUUAACAUCUUUCUAUGAUGUCCAUACCUGACACCCAUUCUUUGAGAACCAUCUUUUCACUGAGUCAUGGUAGAUUUUUGUUUGUGUUUCUAAGACAGCAGUAAUUAAGGACCAAAGUCUGAGUGCCCAGUAUGCUGUGAGGUAAAAUUUCUUCUAUACCCAUUCAUUAGCACAACCAGCAAACAUUUCUAAAUCAAAUUAUUCUCUACAAAUAAGAAAAUGUUAAUAAGAAAAUAGCUUAAUAGAAAAAUGUAGAAUUCUAAGAUGCAGGAAACUACAGAACAGCGUGAGAAAGGUUGGACAGAUAAUCUAUACAGUCCUAACUAUUCUUAAGCCAUGUGAAAGCUAAGAUUCCAAGACAACAAGUGCAUUGAAUGAUGAAGAGCAGCGACUCCAGCGGGUCGUGAGAAAAAAUUCACCUGUCGCAGAGCAUGGAUGAAAGAUACAGCCAGCAUUUAAACAAGUACAGAAAUCAGCCAUCUGAAGUACUUUAUGAGUCUGUUUUUCUUUUAAAAGGCAGGGUUUCAUGUAGUAAAGGUUUGCUCAACUUGCUGUGUAGCUGAGGAUGACCUUGAACCCUUCAUCCUUGUGCUACUACAGAGGGUUGGGAUUAUAGGCAUACAGCGCAAUGUCUCGCUUCAGGGGCUCUUCUAAUGCUCAAAACAACCAUAGACAGAUGGAUUUCUUGAAUAGGUGGAGGAAUUAAAACCAGAUAUAACUGUAUCAGGAAGUGGUAUCAAAAGAUGACAUCAUAUAUUUAAUGCUACUGAAUUGCAGACUUAGAAUGACCAAUGACCACAGUUGUAAAUUACAUAUCAUGAGGUCCUAGGGAUUAAACCCCAACACGUAAACACACAUUCUAACAUUUGUUUAUUAUACCUUCAGCCCCAAUUACAAUGGUAAUUAAAGUGGGGAUCAUAUGCACAUUAAUUAGUGGUAACAGAAUCAUGCAUAGUGCUUUUCUGGGGACAGGAGGAGAAAAAGAAUGCCAUGUUCAACAUAAUCCCAUGGGAACUAUUUAAACUUUGUUUUCCUCGGGGUGUGCUUAUUCCUCUGAUAACUUUUUCAAAAUCUGAAGGAAAGGUUUUACCUUGAUCUGCAAGACAUCGAGUGGGACCGUCUCUCCUUUCACAAUGGCGAGUGUGGCGUCCGUGAUGUGUCUAAAUGGGAAAAAUGGAAAGAAUCCCGUUGUAAAAGGAUUACAAGGAUGUUCUUCAAGCUUCAUUUUCACUGCUGAUUGUUUCAGUCAAGGCACCAGACUAUUCUUACCCACAUUCUGACAAUCUAUUGAAAAAUCUAUAUGAAAAAAUUAAAAACUCACUGAUGCGUCUACUAUGUAUUACACAUCCAGGGCAUAUAAAAUUAUGCCAGAUCUGCAAACAAGCCUAGAGUUUGUACUUUAAAUUCAAAGCCAGACAUAUGUAAAUACAUGACAUAUGGUCAACAAGAAAACAUUAAGCCAAGUGGCGAGACAUUGAAAUAUCUGCCCCCCAUGAGAAGAGUAGAGCACUACAGAGAAACCCUGUCUCGAAAAACCACAAAAUUAAUUAAUUGAUUAACUAAUUAAACAAAAAAAAAACAGUCUGUACUGUGUGCUUAUUAGCACCAUCAUCUGCCUCCUCCUGGAGAACAAACACUCCCCAAAGUACCCGACCAAUGAAAACUCUCCAUCAGCACAAUGCAUGCCAAAUAACAGGCAGGCAGUAUUCGCUUAGAUAUCUAUUCUCUAGAAUUUCAAGCACACAAACUGCAGAGAACUCCUGAAUUAUUUCUCACUCAGACCUAACAAUUAUUAACUCGUGACAAACAUUACUUCUUCACAUUACCCUGUAAGCCACUAGUCAAUAAAAGCAAAUCUGAAUCCUUAAUAGAUCAUUAUGUAUCUGCAAAAGAGACAAGAAAUACUAUUAUUAUACCUAAAAUAUUGACCCACUGUGUAUCAACAUAUUUAGUCUGUUCUCAAGUUUUAAAUAAAUACUUCCUUUGUUCAAGUCAAGGUUCAAACAAGA